GAUGAACGCUGGCGGCGUGCCUAAUACAUGCAAGUCGAGCGAACAGACGAGGAGCUUGCUUCUCUGACGUUAGCGGCGGACGGGUGAGUAACACGUGGAUAACCUACCUAUAAGACUGGGAUAACUUCGGGAAACCGGAGCUAAUACCGGAUAAUAUAUUGAACCGCAUGGUUCAAUAGUGAAAGACGGUUUUGCUGUCACUUAUAGAAGGAUCCGCGCCGCAUUAGCUAGUUGGUAAGGUAACGGCUUACCAAGGCAACGAUGCGUAGCCGACCUGAGAGGGUGAUCGGCCACACUGGAACUGAGACACGGUCCAGACUCCUACGGGAGGCAGCAGUAGGGAAUCUUCCGCAAUGGGCGAAAGCCUGACGGAGCAACGCCGUGUGAGUGAUGAAGGUCUUCGGAUCGUAAAACUCUGUUAUUAGGGAAGAACAAAUGUGUAAGUAACUAUGCACGUCUUGACGGUACCUAAUCAGAAAGCCACGGCUAACUACGUG
rnacentral:rRNA from 1 species